rnacentral:lncRNA from 1 species
CCGUUUAAAUUGUCAACGUUUCAUCCAAUUUGCAGUUAAAUAUGAGGGAAAAUUGGUCAAUUUGUACAUUAAAAAUAACUAACCAUUGAAAAAUAAAAUAACAUUAAAUAUAAAAUACAAAAAAUAAAAGAAUUUUAAUGAAAUUAAUCCGCCACGCCCACGACCUUCUCUCUCUCUCUCUCUCUUCCUUUCCUCCUCCCUCACAUUCCAUCCAAUUCCACUAGCCACUACCCUAAUUCCAACUCAUGAAGCCAUCAACACCCACCUUUAAUGUCAAAAACUCAACAUGAUGUUUUGUUUUCACCAUUUGAAGCAAUACACAUUUGUUAUUUUAAAUACCCAGUUGACUUGGCCAUUGAUAGGCUAAGAGAUAGAGAAAAACAUUCUGAUCAUGUUUAUGGGUUCUAUAUGAGUUUUUCCUUACCCCCAUUGACCAUUCAGAGGAAGAGAGAGAGAGAGAGAGGGGUGUGGUGGUGGUGGUGGUGGUUGGGAGUGAUUGAGCUGGGGGAUGGGGAGGUGGGUAUGAAUGGGAGAGGAAAGGGUUGCAUCCUUUGGAGGAGGAGGAGGAGGAGGAGGAGGCGACAAUAUUGCGUGAAUAUACAGCUGGGUUAAGAGAGAGAGAGAGAGAGAGAGAGAGAGAGGGUUGGAGGGGUUGAGUUGGAGUCACUGGGGGUGGGGGUGGGGCUGGUUGGCCUGGGGAGAAGCUUUGGGGAGAGGAUGAGAAGGAGAAAAAAACCAGAGGAGAGGGAGACGGGGGCGCUGGGUCUGUGGGUGGUGUAGUGUUUUUU